rnacentral:rRNA from 1 species
GACGGAGGAGGCAAGCGUUAUCCGGAAUCAUUGGGCGUAAAGCGUCCGUAGGUGGCUUGGUAAGUCGGCUGUCAAAUCACAUGGCUCAACCAUGUAACGGCAGUGGAAACUGCUAGGCUAGAGUGCGGUAGGGGUAGCGGGAAUUCCCGGUGUAGCGGUGAAAUGCGUAGAUACUGGGAAGAACAUCGGUGGCGAAAGCGCGCUACUGGGUCGCAACUGACACUGAGGGACGAAAGCUAGGGGAGAGAAUGGG